AUGAUCUUCUUUUAUGAUCCACAGAAGAAUGAAAGCAAUAUAGGUUUGGAACAACAUGAUUUGAUGCAGAAACACCUCCAUGUUAAGCGGCUGCACACAGGAAGUGAGUCCUUUGGGGAGGAAAUGGCUCCCAGAUGUGUGGAUGUGACCCAGAGCUCUGGAGAGGGAGGUGAGCGAAGGUCAGUCCUGAGGGAGGACAAGAAAAACUGACAGCAGUGUGUCACAACCCACCUUCAUCACCGCAUUGCGCAGGAAAAACGUCAUUUCGAUCGAAAACAUAAAGGUCCAAAACAUCUGCUCAUACUCCGCUUAUGGAAACAGAAAUCAGAUGCAUUUUUACACAUUUCUGAUGGUGCUGUUCCACACUAUUUAUUUUUUACUUUUAAUUAAAACUUCAAUUGUAGCUAAACGGGACACUUUAGGGACCAAUUCUCACUUUGACAAGUUGCUUAUUAGCAUGCAUAUAUCUUGAUGAUGAAGCCAAUGGCUCUACAGUGAUAUUUUUGUUGCAAGUGUUUGGCACCUUCAUCUGAUCCCAUUAUGUUCUAAUACAAGCGUUAAUUUAUCGAGGCUGAGCAAGGACGUUUGUUAUGUCUGCAUUGUCAUUGUAGUAGCAACAAACUCACAAACACAGAUUGCAGUGGUCUUUCAUCUAUGACCCGGCUUUUUCCGCACGCUAGCAACAGUGAGGUCAUCGCAGCCGUAUCAAACAAGCCUUGCAGAUGUCCACCUUCAGAUACUGAAAGACUCAUCCCAGUUCGUGUAUCGAUCACAUCUUUCUCUUGUGUCACAUUAGAGAUCGUCUGACGGUCGUUUCAAAGCCCAGAAUGUUUUGCUGUGUUGCCGCACAUGUUGUUUAGCAAUGCACGAACGUUUCGUCCCCGGUUCUGCGGUGAGGUGGCAACAGGGUGAAUUAGAGGCACGAGGGAUCGAGAUGAGGAAAGAGAAGAGCGAGGGGUCUCCAGUGUUAGUGAAACAUUAUGUCACGGCCUUGACGAGGAAAUGAAAAGCGCAGCAUCAAUCAGGCGUUGGGCCAAGAUCAAAGCCAGCCCCACACUCUCCCAUAUGGUUCUGUUUGACCAGUGCUUUGCUUUUCCCUCUUUGCUUUUUUCUUGGCCUCUCAGUAGUUUUUCUUCUUUUCUGAGAGCGGGCCUUUUGUUUUUUUCCCCGUCAGAAAUUCCUCCACGUUACUGAGGCAACGAUGUGGUAGCACGCAAGGUGAGAGGUCUAAGAAAACCAAACCUGCCACAGAUUCUCGGUUUCACACUCGUCUCGCCAACAUUUCCUCCUUUUUCCUGCACUCUCUUUCAUGUUUCUCUUUCCUCCUGGUCCUGUGUGUAGCACCAUAUAUUCUAUUGCAGUAUAUUCACUGGUUGAUGUCUUAUAUGCGUGUGCUCAUAAUUCAGGGUUGGCAUGCAUUUGCGCAUGUGAAAGUCUGCACAGAGAAAUGCAUGAAGGCACAUAGCUUGUAUAUGAGUCAGUGAGAGUGUCCAUGCAAAAACCAAAGAAAAGUCUUACAAGUUAAGUUUAAAAUAUCCACCAAAUAUUGAAAAUUUACUCGUUUGUUUGUAGGUUUCA
ensembl:lncRNA